rnacentral:rRNA from 1 species
UUGUUGGUGAGGUAAAGGCUUACCAAGGCUUCGAUCAGUAGCUGGUCUGAGAGGACGACCAGCCACACUGGGACUGAGACACGGCCCAGACUCCUACGGGAGGCAGCAGUGGGGAAUUUUGGACAAUGGGGGAAACCCUGAUCCAGCCAUGCCGCGUGAGUGAAGAAGGCCUUCGGGUUGUAAAGCUCUUUCAGCCGGAACGAAACGGUUACGAUUAAUACCUGUAACUACUGACGGUACCGGAAGAAGAAGCACCGGCUAACUACGUGCCAGCAGCCGCGGUAAUACGUAGGGUGCGGGCGUUAAUCGGAAUUACUGGGCGUAAAGCGUGCGCAGGUGGUUUUGUAAGUCAGAUGUGAAAUCCCCGGGCUUAACCUGGGAACUGCGUUUGAAACUACAAGGCUAGAGUGUGGCAGAGGGGGGUGGAAUUCCGCGUGUAGCAGUGAAAUGCGUAGAGAUGUGGAGGAACACCGAUGGCGAAGGCAGCCCCCUGGGUCAACACUGACGCUCAGGCACGAAAGCAUGGGGAGCAAACAGGAUUAGAUACCCUGGUAGUCCAUGCRCUAAACGAUGUCAACUAGUUGUCGGGUCUUAACGGGCUUGGUAACGUAGCUAACGCGUGAAGUUGACCGCCUGGGGAGCACGAUCGCAAGAUUAAAACUCAAAGGAAUUGACGGGGACCCGCACAAGCGGUGGAUUAUGUGGAUUAAUUCGAUGCAACGCGAAAAACCUUACCUACCCUUGACAUGUAUUGGAGCCCGCAGAGAUGUGGGUGUGCCCGAAAGGGAACGAUAACACAGGUGCUGCAUGGCUGUCGUCAGCUCGUGUCAUGAGAUGUUGGGUUAAGUCCCGCAACGAGCGCAACCCUUGUCAUUAAUUGCCAUCAUUUAGUUGGGCACUUUAAUGAGACCGCCGG